GACCGUGCAAAGGUAGCAUAAUCAUUUGCCUUAUAAUUGAAGGCUAGUAUGAAUGGUUUGACGAGAAUUAAGCUGUCUCUAUUCAAUUAAGUAUAAUUUUAUCUUCAGGUGAAGAAGCCUGUAUUCCACUGAAAGACAAGAAGACCCUGUCGAGCUUUAAAUAAUUUAGCAAAUAAGCCAUAUGUUUAUAAAAAAACUAAACUGCUAAAAAUUUUGGUUGGGGCGACUGAGGAACAGAAAAAGCUUCCUCUUGUUUUUAAGACUGACAAGUGUUGAUCCAGUUACUGAUUAAAGGAAUUAGUUACCGCAGGGAUAACAGCAUAAUCCUCUUUGAGAGUUCUCAUCGAAAAGGGGGCUUGUGACCUCGAUGUUGGACCAGAAUUUCCGGAAGAUGUAGCCGUCUUCAAAGGUUGGUCUGUUCGACCAUUAAAAUUCUACGUGAUCUGAGUUCAGACCGGCGUGAGCCAGGUCAGUUUCUAUCUUCAGGCUAUAAAAUGAUUUUAGUACGAAAGGACCAAAUUAUUGUAAUAUAUUAUUCAUAUUGACUAAGUAUAAGUAAUAAUUAAAAUCUUAGCGAUCAAAUUAGCAAAGUGAAUGCAAUUGACUUAGGAUCAAGAGACAUAGGUGAAAAUCCUUUAUUUGAUACAUUGUAAGACAGUUAUAGAAGUGGCAGAAAAA
rnacentral:rRNA from 1 species